rnacentral:rRNA from 1 species
AUGAACGCUGGCGGCGUGCCUAACACAUGCAAGUCGACGAAGCGAUUUAACGGAAGUUUUCGGAUGGAAGUUGAAUUGACUGAGUGGCGGACGGGUGAGUAACGCGUGGGUAACCUGCCUUGUACUGGGGGACAACAGUUAGAAAUGACUGCUAAUACCGCAUAAGCGCACAGUAUCGCAUGAUACAGUGUGAAAAACUCCGGUGGUACAAGAUGGACCCGCGUCUGAUUAGCUAGUUGGUAAGGUAACGGCUUACCAAGGCGACGAUCAGUAGCCGACCUGAGAGGGUGACCGGCCACAUUGGGACUGAGACACGGCCCAA